AAUUGACCUCGGAUCAGGCAGGGAUACCCGCUGAACUUAAGCAUAUCAAUAAGCGGAGGAAAAGAAACCAACCGGGAUUGCCUUAGUAACGGCGAGUGAAGCGGCAAAAGCUCAAAUUUGAAAUCCGGCCCCGACGGGGUCUGAGUUGUAAUUUGUAGAAGGUGUUUCGGGGGCGGCACCGGCCUAAGUUCCUUGGAACAGGACGCCAGAGAGGGUGAGAGUCCCGUCUGCGCGCCGGAAGUCAACCCUAGGUGAAUGCCUUUCGACGAGUCGAGUUGUUUGGGAAUGCAGCUCUAAAUGGGUGGUAAAUUUCAUCUAAAGCUAAAUACUGGCCAGAGACCGAUAGCGCACAAGUAGAGUGAUCGAAAGAUGAAAAGCACUUUGAAAAGAGAGUCAAACAGUACGUGAAAUUGUUGAAAGGGAAGCGUUGGCGACCAGACCUGUCGUCGGGUGAUCAUCCGUUAUUCGUAACGGUGUCUUUCGCCCGGUCGCAGGCCAGCAUCGGUUUGGGUGGCGGGAUAAAGCGCCUAGGAACGUAACUUCCCCCGGGGAGCCUUAUAGCCUAGGUGGUCAUGCCGCCCGCCUGGACCGAGGACCGCGCUUUGGCUAGGAUGCUGGCGUAAUGGUCGUCAACGACCCGUCUUGAAACACGGACCAAGGAGUCUACCAUCUAUGCGAGUGUUUGGGCGUUAAACCCAGGCGCGGAAUGAAAGUAAACGCAGGUGAGAUCCUUUCCCUCUCGGGAGAGGCGCAUCAUCGACCGAUUCAAAUGUCUUCGGAUGGAUUUGAGUAAGAGCAUAGCCGGUGGGACCCGAAAGAUGAUGAACUAUGCCUGAAUAGGGUGAAGCCAGAGGAAACUCUGGUGGAGGCUCGCAGCGGUUCUGACGUGCAAAUCGAUCGUCGAAUUUGGGUAUAGGGGCGAAAGACCAAUCGAAUCAUCUAGUAGCUGGUUCACGUC
rnacentral:rRNA from 1 species